UAGGAGAAUAGUCAUGUUCUAUGAUGAAA
rnacentral:piRNA from 1 species